rnacentral:ncRNA from 1 species
AAUUCCUUUUUUGAAGUUCAAUUUUUAUUACCUUGUUCCAUUAAAACACUCAAGGGGUUAUACGAUAUACGGGGAGUUGAAAAUAAGCAUUGAUCCAGAGAUUCCCAAAUAGGUCAACCUUUUAAACUGUGUGCUGAAUCCAUGAGCAGGCAAGAGACAACCUGGCGAACUGAAACAUCUUAGUAGCCAGAGGAAAAGAAAGCAAAAGCGAUUCCCGUAGUAGCGGCGAGCG